AGUGAACGCUGGCGGUAGGCCUAACACAUGCAAGUCGAACGGCAGCACAGGAGAGCUUGCUCUCUGGGUGGCGAGUGGCGGACGGGUGAGGAAUACAUCGGAAUCUACUCUGUCGUGGGGGAUGACGUAGGGAAACUUACGCUAAUACCGCAUCCGACCUACGGGUGAAAGCAGGGGAUCUUCGGACCUUGCGCGAUUGAAUGAGCCGAUGUCGGAUUAGCUAGUUGGCGGGGUAAAGGCCCACCAAGGCGACGAUCCGUAGCUGGUCUGAGCGGAUGAUCAGCCACACUGGAGCUGGGACACGGUCCAGACUCCUACGGGAGGCAGCAGUGGGGAAUAUUGGACAAGAGGCGCAAGCCUGAUCCAGCCAUACCGCGUGGGUGAAGAAGGCCUUCGGGUUGUAAAGCCCUUUUGUUGGGAAAGAAAUCCAGCUGGCUAAUACCCGGUUGGGAUGACGGUACCCAAAGAAUAAGCACCGGCUAACUUCGUGCCAGCAGCCGCCGUAA
rnacentral:rRNA from 1 species